rnacentral:rRNA from 1 species
GACGGAGGAUGCAAGCGUUAUCCGGAAUGAUUGGGCGUAAAGCGUCCGCAGGUGGCUGUUCAAGUCUGCUGUCAAAGACCGGGGCUUAACUUCGGAAAGGCAGUGGAAACUGAACAGCUAGAGUAUGGUAGGGGCAGAGGGAAUUCCUGGUGUAGCGGUGAAAUGCGUAGAGAUCAGGAAGAACACCGGUGGCGAAGGCGCUCUGCUGGACCAUAACUGACGCUCAGGGACGAAAGCUAGGGGAGCGAAUGGG